GGAAUAUUGGACAAUGGGCGAAAGCCUGAUCCAGCAAUGCCGCGUGAGUGAUGAAGGCCCUAGGGUUGUAAAGCUCUUUUACCCGGGAUGAUAAUGACAGUACCGGGAGAAUAAGCUCCGGCUAACUCCGUGCCAGCAGCCGCGGUAAUACGGAGGGAGCUAGCGUUGUUCGGAAUUACGGGGCGUAAAGCGCGCGUAGGCGGCUGCUCAAGUCAGAGGUGAAAGCCCGGGGCUCAACCCCGGAAUAGCCUUUGAAACUAGGUGGCUAGAAUCUUGGAGAGGCGAGUGGAAUUCCGAGUGUAGAGGUGAAAUUCGUAGAUAUUCGGAAGAACACCAGUGGCGAAGGCGACUCGCUGGACAAGAAUUGACGCUGAGGUGCGAAAGCGUGGGGAGCAAA
rnacentral:rRNA from 1 species